CUGAGAGUGGCUCAGCUGGCCAGCUGGGAGGAGGAAGUCAGAGACCUCUGAAACUCAACAACGAUCGAUCAAAUCUAUGGAAUUCCAGGCAUUUCUCUAGGACACUCAUUCCAUGCUGGGACAAGAGGGCGACAUCCUGUGAGAGGGAAGACUGCCUCAGCUCCUGGACAACACACCAAAGCUUUUAACAUUUCUUGAAGUCUAAACACAGCCUAAAUCUCACUGAAGAUGCCGUGUGUGUCCUCUGAUGCAGUAGAAUUCAGCACCAUAGGAGCAGGGAAACAAUGGAGACAUGCUAGAGUGGAACGAGUGGGAUGGGGGUCCAUACAUCCUGGGACAACCCCUAAACCCAGACUGCAGACUGCUCCAGACACCCACGCACCACAUGGUGGGCCCUGGCCCGAGCCCUGACUCCUGACUCAGCCGUCUAGGACCAUCUCAGACCCUGAGAACAGGAUGUGUCACAAGCUUAGAGUUCUGUAUUUGCCCGUGUAAUGUAGUCCACCUGUGAAUGGCCGACCUGGUAUUAACUAUAUUUGAUAGGGCUGUCAACUAACUUGCUUUAAUGCAGUA